GGGGGGUCUCAGGUGAGUCCAGGGGGAUUCCAGGUGAGUCCAGGGCAGCCCAAGUGACUCCAGAGGGUCCCCAGGUGACUCCAGGGGGGUCUCAGGUGACUCCAGGGGGGUCUCAGGUGAGUCCAGAGGGGUCCCAGGUGAGUCUGGGGGGGCCCAGGUGAGCCCAGGUGAGUCCAGGGUGGGCCCAGGUGAGUCCAGGGGGUCCCAGGUGACUCCAGGGGGUCCCCAGGUGACUCCAGGGGAUCCCAGGUGAGGCCAGGUGACUCCAGGGGGUCCCCAGGUGACUCCAGGGGGUCCCAGGUGAGUCCAGGGGGUCCCCAGGUGAGUCCAGGGGGUCCCCAGGUGACUCCAGAAGGGUCCCAGGUGACUCCAGGGGAUCCCAGGUGAGCCCAGGUGACUCCAGGGGGGCCCAGGUGAGUCCAGGGGGGUCCCAGGUGACUCCAGGGGAUCCCAGGUGACUCCAGGGGAUCCCAGGUGACUCCAGGGUGGGCCCAGGUGAGUCCAGGUGAUUCCAGGUGAGUCCAGGGGGUCCCCUACGUGCCACGGGGCUCGGGGUGACUCUUGAGCCCCCCGUGUCUCCUCAUGUGCCACGUCAGGGACGCGCGCUGGCGGCAGCGGUACCCGCACACCUCGC